GACACUUUAUUUACAUCA
rnacentral:snRNA from 1 species